UACGGAGGAUGCAAGCGUUAUCCGGAAUGAUUGGGCGUAAAGCGUCCGCAGGUGGCAAUGUAAGUCUGCUGUCAAAGCGUCUGGCUCAACCAGAUAAAGGCAGUGGAAACUACAUAGCUAGAGUAAGGUAGGGGUAGAGGGAAUUCCUGGUGUAGCGGUGAAAUGCGUAGAGAUCAGGAAGAACACCGGUGGCGAAAGCGCUCUGCUGGACCUUAACUGGCACUGAGGGACGAAAGCUAGGGGAGCGAAUGGG
rnacentral:rRNA from 1 species